rnacentral:lncRNA from 1 species
UUGGAAGGGUGAUUUUUUUUAUAUUAAUUAUUAAAAUUGAUAUUUACGCUGAUACCAAUAUGUAACAUAGGAUUUGAAAUUUUAAAAUCAAAUAAUAUAGAAAAGAGACAUUGGGGGAGAAAUAUAACUUAACUAAUAAUUUGUUAAUAAAAGAAUAUCUAAUUGCACACUCGACGUAGGACACCUUCGGCUGAUUCAUCUAAUUAAUCCACAUCUAGCUAUAUAUAGCUAUAGAGUCAUAACAGAAGACAAAUUCAACUUUUACUUUCGAUAAUUAUAAAUUCUACUCUAAUUAUAUAAAAUUUUAAAUAUAAUUAAAAAUUUUAAAUAUAUUCUAUCUCUAACUAAAUUUUAAAUUAAAUUUGAAUUAACAUUUC